rnacentral:rRNA from 1 species
UACGUAGGGUGCAAGCGUUAAUCGGAAUUACUGGGCGUAAAGCGUGCGCAGGCGGUUCUAUAAGACAGAUGUGAAAUCCCCGGGCUCAACCUGAGAACUGCAUUUGUGACUGUAGAGCUGGAGUGCGGCAGAGGGGGAUGGAAUUCCGCGUGUAGCAGUGAAAUGCGUAGAUAUGCGGAGGAACACCGAUGGCGAAGGCAAUCCCCUGGGCCUGCACUGACGCUCAUGCACGAAAGCGUGGGGAGCAAACAGG